GUAUCUUGGAGUAAUUGACUUUCAAUUAAAAAUGCCCUUCACCGUCUUGCUUGCUUCUGAAAAGCUAUCAUAGGAACCCUAGCUUUGUAUCUAAAGGGCUAUAUCCAUGAAGAAUGUUAUUAUCAACAGAAAUACUAUGGGCAAGUAUGAAGUGAACUUUCAAUUGCUGUCCAAAAUGCCUCAACUCAGGGGAAACAGAAGCAUAUCAAUUGGAUGAAUUGACUGAAUAUAAUUUGAAAGAAAAGACAAUGUGCUGUUUCUGGUACUGGUAUAUCCAGAUUUGGACCAUGUGAUGCCAAAGGAGUAAGUACUUUGAAAUUUUAUUCAUCCCACCACAAUUCUCAAUGGUAACGGAAAGUAAGUGAAAGUAGAGUGUAUGCGAUUACUUACAAGAGGAAGCUGGAUCUCAUUCGUCUCCUGUUGUGUUGGUUGAACCAAUAAAGAUUCCUUUGUCGAUUCAUCAUAAGGAUUCCAGGGAGAGUGGCGGUUGUUGAUUCUUUCAGUGGUACUCUGACCACACGAGGCCCCGGUUACUCUGCUAGUUACUUUGUUGAUUCUAUCAGUGGUAGUCUGACCACCCGAGGCCCCGGUUACUCCCUAAGAUUUCAUAUUGUCCAUGUGGUUCUGGCACAUGCCUAUAUCAGACAGCCAAAACAGGGGGGAAAUUGGGUCAAUUUCGAAUAUACAUUACAUCAAAUUUAAAAAGAAGAAGAAGAAUGACGAUGAAGAAGAUGAAGAACAGUAAAAGGAGCAGAGAAGACGAAAAAUUAAAGGAGAAGAAGGAAAUUAGCCAAAAUUUGUAAAACAAAAGUGCCAAAUGGCCAUUUGUUGUAAUAAAAGAUUUUUUUAUAUAAGAAAUUUAACCUAAUGUACAUAAAAUAUUGUUCAGCAAUUCUAUGGAUGUCCAUCUA
rnacentral:lncRNA from 1 species